rnacentral:rRNA from 1 species
CGGCGGACGGGUGAGUAACGCGUGGGUAACCUACCUCAUACAGGGGGAUAACAGUUGGAAACGGCUGCUAAUACCGCAUAAGCGCACAGUACCGCAUGGUACCGUGUGAAAAACUCCGGUGGUAUGAGAUGGACCCGCGUCUGAUUAGCUAGUUGGUGGGGUAACGGCCUACCAAGGCGACGAUCAGUAGCCGACCUGAGAGGGUGACCGGCCACAUUGGGACUGAGACACGGCCAA